CCUACGGGUGGCAGCAGUGGGGGAUAUUGCACAAUGGGGGAAACCCUGAUGCAGCGACGCCGCGUGAGUGAAGAAGUAUUUCGGUAUGGUAAGCUCUUUCAGCAGGGAAGAAAAUGACAGUACCUGACCAAGAAGCCCUGGCUACCUACGUGCCAGCGGCCGCGGUAAUGCGUGGGGGGCAGGCGUUAUCCGGAUGUACUGGGUGUUAAGGGAGCGUAGACGGUUAUGUAAGUAUGGAGUGAAAGCCCGGGGCCCCACCCCGGGCCUGCUUUGGAAACUGGGUAACUGGAGUACAGGAGGGGCAGGCGGAAUGCCUGGUGUAGCGGUGAAAUGCGUAGAUAUCAGGAGGAACACCGGCGGCGAAGGCGGCCUGCUGGACUGAAACUGACGUUGAGGCUCGAAAGCGUGGGGAGCGAACAGGAUUAGAUACCCCAGUAGUC
rnacentral:rRNA from 1 species